rnacentral:lncRNA from 10 species
GCCGCCGCCGCCGCCGGGGGCACAGACAGCCGCCGCCGCCAUGUUCGAGGCGGCCGGCCGCGGGGCGCUGCGGGGACGUCUUAAGGGCGGCGGGGCCCAGCCGGAGCCCCCCAGCCGCCCCCCAAGGCCAGCCCCGCGUCCUGGCCCCUCCCGCGCUCCUCGGCUCGGUACUCACGUGAGAUAACGGCCCAAAGAGUCGGGAAGCCAGCUGCCAUGUUCUGAGUACUCUCUGGAAGGGCCUGCAUGGCAAGGAACUGAUGUUUCCAGCCAGCAGCCAGCAAGAACUGCAAGCCUUGUGAAUGAGCUUGGAAGCAGAUCCUCCCCUCACUCAAGCCAUGAUAUGACAACAGCCUGAGACCCAGAGGAUGAAGGAGCCGAGGAAGACAGACAGAAUGUGGGAGAGGCUGGAGCUGGCUGAGAAGCAAAGACAAGGGGGACACAGAGGGACAAGCCACCCUGUCCCUGAGAAUUCCCCAGUUUUCUGGCCAAUUUGGGUGAAACCCAGCAACUCUUUGUGUUCCAUCCGUCGAUACUGUGAGGUCUCUCUAUACACUCAGUAAAUGCUCCUUUUUACCUCACUGGACUAAUGCUUUUUAGAGUCACAUGCAUGCUGACUUCAACAAAGCAAAUUGUUUAUCUGAAUCAACUCUGCCGUGUACCAUGUCCAGUCACUUGAAUUUCUAUUUCAUCUUUGACUCUCCAUUUGCUAAUUAUGACUUUGG